rnacentral:rRNA from 1 species
UAGGGAAUAUUGGGCAAUGGGCGAGAGCCUGACCCAGCCAUGCCGCGUGCCGGAUGAAGGCCUUCUGGGUUGUAAACGGCUUUUCUCAGGGAAGAAAAAGGUGAUGCGUCACAAACUGACGGUACCUGAGGAAUAAGCACCGGCUAACUCCGUGCCAGCAGCCGCGGUAAUACGGAGGGUGCAAGCGUUGUCCGGAUUUAUUGGGUUUAAAGGGUGCGUAGGCGGCCCGUUAAGUCCGGGGUGAAAGCCCACAGCUCAACUGUGGAACUGCCCUGGAUACUGGCGGGCUUGAGUCCAGACGAGGUUGGCGGAAUGGAAGAUGUAGCGGUGAAAUGCAUAGAUAUCUUCCAGAACCCCGAUUGCGAAGGCAGCUGACUAGGCUGGUACUGACGCUGAGGCACGAAAGCGUGGGGAGCGAACAGG